rnacentral:rRNA from 1 species
CCUACGGGGGGCAGCAGUGGGGAAUCUUGCACAAUGGGCGGAAGCCUGAUGCAGCGACGCCGCGUGAGGGACGAAGGUCUUCGGAUCGUAAACCUCUGUCCAAAGGGACGAAGGAGUGACGGUACCUUUGGAGGAAGCCCCGGCCAACUACGUGCCAGCAGCCGCGGUAAGACGUAGGGGGCGAGCGUUGUCCGGAAUUACUGGGCGUAAAGGGCGUGUAGGCGGCCGGUUAAGUCAGAUGUGAAAGGCCUCGGCUUAACCGAGGCAUUGCAGUUGAAACUGGCCGGCUUGAGUGCAGGAGAGGAAAGUGGAAUUCCUAGUGUAGCGGUGAAAUGCGUAGAUAUUAGGAGGAACACCAGUGGCGAAGGCGACUUUCUGGACUGCAACUGACGCUGAGGCGCGAAAGCGUGGGUAGCGAACAGGAUUAGAUACCCUGGUAGUC